rnacentral:rRNA from 1 species
AGAAUCAACGCUGGCGGCGUGCCUAACACAUGCAAGUCGCACGAGAAAGGGGAGCAAUCCCUGAGUAAAGUGGCGCACGGGUGAGUAACACGUGAAUAAUCUACCUCCGAGUGGGGAAUAACUGAGAGAAAUCUUAGCUAAUACCGCAUAACACUUACGAGUCAAAGCAGCAAUGCGCUUGGAGAGGAGUUCGCGGCCGAUUAGUUAGUUGGCGGGGUAAUGGCCCACCAAGACGAUGAACGGUA